rnacentral:rRNA from 1 species
UACAGAGGGGGCAAGCGUUGUUCGGAAUUACUGGACGUAAAGGGCGCGUAGGCGGCCUGCUAAGUCGAACGUGAAAUCCCUGGGCUCAACCCAGGAACUGCGUCCGAUACUGGUUGGCUUGAAUCCAGGAGAGGUGAGUGGAAUUCCGAGUGUAGAGGUGAAAUUCGUAGAUAUUCGGAAGAACACCAGUGGCGAAGGCGGCUCACUGGACUGGUAUUGACGCUGAGGUGCGAAAGCGUGGGGAGCAAACAGG